AGGCAUCUAAGCGUGAAGCCCCCCUCAAGAUGAGAUAUCCCAUAACGCAAGUUAGUAAGACCCCUUGAAGACGACGAGGUAGAUAGGGCAGAGGUGGAAGUGCAGUAAUGCAUGGAGCUGACUGUUACUAAUAGGUCGAGGGCUUAACCAAG
rnacentral:rRNA from 1 species